UCUGCAAAGUUACCAGGGUGAAUGACACAAGCCCUCAGAAUGUGUCCCUCCAACCACAACCCAAUUCUCUAGCCACGGCCUGACCACCAGGUCCCUUCAAUUUCCUCUCCGGCGGCCAGCCAUUGAAGCAGGUUCCUUGGACAAUACGAGCUAAGCGGACUACACAGAAAUAGAUGACCACGGUCAACCACCUGCAAGAACAAGACGUCACCAGGCAUGGCUUCCAGGGGCCUCUGCAAGGAUGAUGGUGACUAGCGACGUCACCAUGAUCCGAAAUCCAAAUGCCAAAGCAGCACAUUUCCUUCCAAGCAAGGAAACGGUUUCCCCGUGAUGCACCCCUCUCAACUCAGAGCAGCAACAGCAACCACAAAAGAGGAAGAUACAAGAUGUGAUCAAAAGGAUGUUCGGAGCGCUCUGCGGGAGGCCCUUGAACCCUACUGGCCAGGAGAGCUUUCUCCAGCUCCAGCAGCAGCCAGCAAUAAUACUCUCCAUAAAAGUCAACUCCAUCACGUGACGGGACGCUCUUCCCCAACAGCGAACACCACCAUCACUUCAAUCAGCUGCCCAG